rnacentral:rRNA from 1 species
UACGAAGGGGGCUAGCGUUGCUCGGAAUCACUGGGCGUAAAGGGUGCGUAGGCGGUCGGGUAAGUCUGAUGUGAAAUCUUCAAGCUCAACUUGGAAACUGCAUCGGAUACUAUUCGGCUAGAGGAAUGGAGGGGAGACUGGAAUACUUGGUGUAGCAGUGAAAUGCGUAGAUAUCAAGUGGAACACCAGUGGCGAAGGCGAGUCUCUGGACAUUUCCUGACGCUGAGGCACGAAAGCCAGGGGAGCAAACGGG